UACCAACAGUCUUCAAAGGAAUCUAGUGCCAUGGGACUCCAGUGUCUUCAAAACAUCCUCGGAAUACAUGUGGGGACAUGACUGGUGAGUCUACUGGAUUAAUCAUUAGCGGUACUUUGCCCAACAGAUUUGAUGGAAUGACUACAGGGUGACUAAGACAAUUAUUCCCUGCCUAUCAAGAGACUUCUAAAACAUAUCUGCUAGAACAGUUCCUAUACUUUUUGUAUAAUUUGGUCAUGCUGCAAAUUUAUUUUUUGUAGUUGCUCCAUAUUUAGUUAUUUGACAGCCUCACCUGCUAGAAAAGUCUAUUCAAAUCGGCUAAAUAUAAUGAACUAAAUUAAUAGCCAUGAAAUGUUGUCACUCAUACUAAUGGCAAAUACCCUUUUCAGUUGGUGGUUCAACACUGAUGUCUCUCUAGGCUUGAGGAGAGCUCACAAGUAAAUUACACGAAUGUCCUGGAGCAAUUGGGAAUACACUUUUAUUUAGUCUACCUGACCAGGGACAUCUUUGAACUAUAGGUCACCUAACCCAAACUUUUCACUCUUAGGUUGUCCUUUUCUCUUGUUUUAACCGAAAGGGCUGAAAAUAUCAACAUUUCAGGUAUUCUGUUUGGAUAAUGUGCAAAACUUGUGGCUUCACUAAUAAAAAAAAAUAACAAAUGUAUUUUUCUUAAUGUGGUUAAACUAUUCAAAGAUUUGUAUGCAAAAUAUUUCUGCUAAAUUUGUGGUCAAUGAAACUCAAAUUUUUUAAUUUGAUAAAACGCAACUAUGGGUUAAAGGUAUUUGCUUUGGGCAUCUUUAGAUAUUUUUAAAAUCUAGCUCCAUUGCCGUUAGAAAUGGUGUCUCCCAGUACUGCAAAGUGCUUCCACAAGUUUAAAAAAGAAUGGGCAGAAAAGGAACUGCCAACUAAAUCUAUUUAACCUGGGUAGAAAGUUGCCAUGGAAGCUCUUGGCUGCUGGUUCCGAACACGGCUCCACUGUUAGCCUGUGACCUUGAGUUUAACUUUUUUGGACUUUUGGUGACUUUCACAAAAGUGAAAUGAACUGGUUAAUGCAAUAAACAAGACAUUUGAAACUUCAGCUACAUUUUUAUCUAUUUGUACUGCCUUUGAUUUCAACCCGUGACAUGUUUGUCAGGCGAUAACUAUGUACCUGUGACCGCAUAUCAUGGUACCAAUUUGAACUGUUUGUGGAUAUUGCAUUAAAUCCAUAUGCUUGAAACUUUUCAAUAAUGCAUAUCAACAAAACAAAACAAUGGAAUGAAAUAAAUAGUUCAAGUAAUUUGUGGGACUUGGCUGCUUUUACAUUACUCAUUUUGGGGGUUAUUUCAGUCUCCAACCUGCAGGUCGUGCGAAGAAUCAUGUGAAUGGGAAUAUUCUAUAAAUGUCUUUAUCAUCUUUCAUCUCAAC
ensembl:lncRNA